GAGGGGAUAGCUCAGCGGUAGAGUGUGUGGCUAGCAUGCACAAGGUCCUGGGUUCAAUUCCCAGCACCUCC
rnacentral:tRNA from 1 species